rnacentral:lncRNA from 1 species
AUGCGCUGGGACUUGGUAAAGAGAGGCUACAAACACUUGGCUUGACCAAGAACAAUGGAGGCACUUGUAUAUGUAGUUGUUGAUGUCCUGUGUACACACUUGUUUGAAAUAAUAUAGCGUUCACAACUCGUCUUGGAUCCUUCAUUUCCGCGAUAGCUGUUUGGAGACUCUCUGAAACUCCGUCUCUUGGACUUCUGAAGCUGUGGAGUAACUGCUUGGACUCUUCGAGAGUCGGGAAUUCACGGUCGCAGAGAUUUUUUUUCCAGCCAUUGAGGGAAGCCCGUGGGUCGAGCAGGAAGCAGCGUCUUCACUCCUCGUCUUCGUGCCGUUGGGCGUGUCUAUAGCCUCGCCUCCUUGUUUAGAAUUUUUUUUUAUUUGGACACUUUAAAGGCACUCACAAUACAGACUCUAUCAUAGAGUCUAAAGUUAUUUAUUACCUCGGAUAAUGUGGAUUUGAAAUCUAAAUAAGACUUGGAGUCUUAUUUUUUCUACCUUUUUCUUCAAUAAAUAUGCUGCCACAUCAGCAAAAUACCAUAAAUAAUAUGUAAUUAAGUGUCUUGGACUCUGUGAUAGAGUCUUGCAUUGUGAGUGCCCUAACACUUUUGUUUGUAUUUAAAAAUUAUUAUUCAAUCAUGGACUAUAAUUUUAAAUAUUUAUGUAGAAUUUUUUUUAUUUGGACACUCUAACACUUUUAUUUGUAUUUAAAAAUUAUUGUUCAACCGUGGACUAUCUCUACAACUAAAAAUUAUGGAAAGGACCCGUCUACCACACUCAUGGUGAAGCCACAACUCUCAUCCCUUUUAGCCAUGAUAGACUAUCCCAUCAACUCAGGCCCCACUCACCCAUGCAUGCAAAAUUGUUUUAGCGAAUUUAAAAAAGUCAUAACUUUUAAACUGAAGAUAUAAAUUAAAUUCCGAUUGCACCAUUAAAUUUCUCAUAACAAAUCCUUCAAAACAAGAUCACACAUGGAUAUAUUUAGAUAAAAUUUUAUUAAUAAAUAUUUAUCUCCACAACUAAAAAUUAUGAAGAUGAUCCGUCCACAACUUCCAUCCCUUUAGUGGUCUUUUUUACUGCGCGAUGACAAGCUAUCCUUGAAAACAAGAUCACACAUGGAUAUAUUUAGAUAAAAUUUUAUUAAUGAAUAUUUAUAGAGACAAUAUUCUAGGUUCAACAGACAAUGUUCUAUCUUUGUAAAAAAAUGUUAUCGAUUUAGAAGAAUAGUAUUUAGGUUUUAGGUUUAUGAAACUGAUAUUACAAUAUACAUAAAAAUACAUAAAUACAUGACAUAGAUAAAAAUAAUAAAAAAAUCUAGAGUAAAAAACAUAAGAAAAAAAAUAAAAACACAAAAUGGAGAAAAAUUUCAAAUAAUGUCAAAGCGUUACUUUUCAAAUAUCGUAAAUAUAUUUAUAGAAUAUUAACAUCACUAAAUACAUCAUAGAACAUAAUUAAAUAUAUUAUACAACAUCACAUCUAUUAUAGAUUACAUGUAUACUAAGUGAACACCAUAAGAAACAUCAUAGAACAUCACAUGUAUACUACGUAAACGUGACAUAACACAACAUACAACACUAAAUAUAUACUACAUUAAUAUCACAUAUAUAUAGAAAAAUAAAAAUAAAAAAAUAAAAUUACUAAGAAAAAUAUAUAAAAACAAACAUAAUUAACAAAUGAUAAAAAGUGCAUAGAGCAAAUAAAAUUAAUGAAUAAUUUAAAUAAGGAUAAAAAUAAGAUUAAAAGGAAAUAAAAAGGUUAAUGCCCGUGCGUUGCUACGGGUUUUAAAAUUCAUAUACUUUUAAGUAAUUUUCAUCUAACACAUGAAAAAAAAAUCUUAUGGCAUCAUGAUUUCGAUUUGGGUAACCAAACACCUUGUAUAGUAAUUAGGGAAAACAUAGAAAAUCUAAAAAGAAAAAAGAAAAACAAAUAGAAGCAAGGAAGAACAAUAAAAAUAAAACCAAAGGAAAAAGAAAAUAAAAGGUAAAAUUAAAACAAGAAAAGAAUAAGGAAAGGACAGAAAAUAAAAUAAAAUCAAAAAACAAAAACUGAAAAGAAUGAAAAAGGAAGAAUAUAGAUAGAAAAAACAAAAUAAUAAAACAAUAAUGAAGAAACAUAGAAUACGUGGAUUUUAAAACCCGUCGUACGGGCAUUAACCUAGUAAUUUAAAAUAUUUAUCUUGCAAAUUAUAGGUAAAUUAUACAAUUAGUUAUUCUUUUAUUUAUAUUUAAUGAUUCAUGCAUACGUCCAAAGAUUCAAUGUAUGGAGAAUCUUAUAAACUUUUAGAAUUUUAAAUACAUCUAAACAAGCCUUACUGUAUUUAUUUAAAUAGUAUAGUGCCCGUGCGAAUAUAUUUUAGGGAUACACAUGAAAAUAACCAUAAACAAUGAUCUGCUCAUAAGUCAUCAGUAUCAUGAAAAACAUUGAUAUUAACAAAGUUUUACGCAAUUAGGCCAUUUUUUUCAGAAUCACGAGGAGAUUCAGAAUCCUCAAGGUUUGAAACUCACCUGGCAAUGAUCUGCUCACAGAUCUUCUACCCAUCCUUCUUGGGCCACACCCUUGAUAAGCCCGAAUGGCAAGGCAGGCGACUAGAUCUAGCCGCGCCAGACGGCCUAAACCAUGGCGCCCUUCCUCUUCGGCUCCAGCAAUCGCAGCACCCUCCAAAGUGCUCACACACUCCUUGUGCGGCUCCUUCCUGACCAUGAGGUCAGACAGGAACAUGUUGUCCAUAUUGGCGCAGGGGCGAAGGUACACUAUACGUGGGGGGUGCAAAUGCACCACUCUAAAUUUAAAAAAACAAUAGUUUUAGCUUAAAUUUCACCAUAUAUGCACCAUCUCCUAUACAAGUAUAUGCACCCACAAGGCAAGUGUACCACCCUUCGAUUUACUCUAGCUUCGCC